rnacentral:rRNA from 1 species
GACGAACGCUGGCGGCGUGCUUAACACAUGCAAGUCGAACGGAAAGGCCCUGCUUGCAGGGUACUCGAGUGGCGAACGGGUGAGUAACACGUGGGUGAUCUGCCCUGCACUUCGGGAUAAGCCUGGGAAACUGGGUCUAAUACCGGAUAGGAGCCAUUUUUAGUGUGAUGGUUGGAAAGUUUUUUCGGUGUAGGAUGAGCUCGCGGCCUAUCAGCUUGUUGGUGGGGUAAUGGCCUACCAAGGCGGCGACGGGUAGCCGGCCUGAGGGGGUGGACGGCCACAUUGGGACUGAGAGACGGCCCAGACACCGACGGGAGGCAGCAGGGGGGAAGAUUGCACAAGGGGCGCAAGCCUGAUGCAGAGACGCCGCGGGGGGGAUGACGGCCUUCGGGUUGUAAACUCCUUUCGCUAGGGACGAAGCUUUUUGUGACGGUACCUAGAGAAGAAGCACCGGCUAACUACGUG